rnacentral:rRNA from 1 species
UACGGAGGGGGCGAGCGUUGUCCGAAGUUACUGGGCGUAAAGCGCGCGUAGGCGGGUUGGUAAGUCCGCUGUGAAAGCCCGGAGCUUAACUCCGGAGGGUCGGUGGAUACUGCCAGUCUUGAAGGUGCUAGGGGGAGAUGGUAUUACCGGUGUAGCGGUGAAAUGCGUAGAUAUCGGUAGGAACACCAGUGGCGAAGGCGGUCUCCUGGGGCAUUCUUGACGCUGAGGCGCGAAAGCUGGGGGAGCAAACGGG